CGGAAGUGGACGCUUCCGCCCGAAUGGAUGAGUCCAAAUCAAGAGCGUCACCUCGAGAGCAGCCGUGGCCGGCUCAAGCGCGAGCGGCUCUGUGGUCCAAUCGGAACGCCGAAACUUUGACGUGGCAGAGUGCUGGCGGGUUCCCGUUGCCUGUCAAUGGAGCUUCUGUGACGUCCACACGGCCUCCCAGGCAAUUCAAAAGUGACCCGUCUCCGGUACCUUAGGAAAUGAGUCAUUUUUAUGACACCGUUAUAAGGUGCACUUUCAUUGUACCGUUGAGAUUAUGCAAUAAGGUUAAGACAAAUUACUUUUACAUGACUGCUUCUUUUAUAUAUAUAU